rnacentral:rRNA from 1 species
UCAAGCUACUAAGGGCAUACGGCGGAUGCCUAGGCGCCAUCAGCCGAUGAAGGACGCGGUAAGCUGCGAAAAGCUACGGGGAACUGCAAGCAAGUAUUGAUCCGUAGAUGUCCGAAUGGGGAAACCCACCUGCCGUCAUGGGCAGGUAUCCGAAAGGAAGGGAACCCGGGGAACUGAAACAUCUAAGUACCCGGAGGAAGAGAAAUCAAACGAGAUGCCCACAGUAGCGGCGAGCGAAGAGGGCAGAGGGCAAACCGGGGAGCUGCGGCUCUCCGGGGUUGAGGACUGCAUUUAGUCUUAAUGGUUUAUCCGAACUACCUGGAAAGGUAGGCAACACAGUGUAAAAGCCACGUAGGUUAAAGACCAGAGAGAUGAGCAGUAUCCAGAGUACCACGAGGCACGAGGAAUCUUGUGGGAAGCCGGGGGGACCACCCUCCAACCCUAAACACUGAAUGGCGACCGAUAGCGCAUAGUACCGUGAGGGAAAGGUGAAAAGAACCCCGGGAGGGGAGUGAAAGAGAACCUGAAACCGUAUGUCUACAAGCAGUCGGAGCGAAAGCGACGGCGUGCCUAUUGAAGAAUGAACCAACGAGUUACGUGCACUAGCGAGGUUAAGUGGAAGACACGGAGCCGAAGCGAAAGCGAGUCUUAAGAGGGCGGAUAGUUAGUGUACGUAGACCCGAAACCGCAGUGAUCUACCCAUGUCCAGGUUGAAGCGCAGGUAAAAUUGCGUGGAGGACCGAACCUGUGAGCGUUGAAAAGCUUUAGGAUGAGAUGUGGGUAGAGGUGAAAUUCCAAUCGAACGCGGAGAUAGCUGGUUCUCCCCGAAAUAGCUUUAGGGCUAGCCUCAAGUAGUAAGUAUAGGCGGUAGAGCACUGAUCGGGCUAGGGGCCAUAAAGGUUACCGAACCCUGUCAAACUCCGAAUGGUUAUACUGUAGAGCUUGGGAGUCAGACUACGAGUGAUAAGAUCCGUGGUCAAAAGGGAAACAGCCCAGACCACCAGCUAAGGUCCCCAAUGUCGUACUAAGUGGAAAAGGAUGUGGGGUCUCUAAAACAACCAGGAUGUUGGCUUAGAAGCAGCCACCAUUUAAAGAGUGCGUAAUAGCUCACUGGUCGAGAGACCCUGCGCCGAAGAUUACCGGGGCUAAAGUACGAAACCGAAGCUGUGGCUACGACGUAAGUCGUGGGGUAGGGGAGCGUUCUGUGAGGGCUGAAGUCGUUCUGCAAGGAACGGUGGACUUCACAGAAGUGAGAAUGUUGGUAUGAGUAGCGAAAAGAAUGGUGAGAAUCCAUUCCACCGAAAGCAUAAGGAUUCCUGGGCAACGAUCGUCGUCCCAGGGUAAGUCGGGACCUAAUCCGAGGCAUGGAGCGUAGGAGAUGGACAACUGGCAGAUAUUCCAGUACCGGUAAUGAUUGUUUGAGCGAUGGAGUGACACAGGAGGGCAGGCAGGCAGGAGAUUGGUUGUUCCUGUACAAGCGUGUAGGAUGGGACGUAGGCAAAUCCGCGUCCUGUGAGUCUGAGGCGUGAUGUGGAGGUUCCGGAAACGGAACUGAAGCUGCUGACCCCACACUGUCGAGAAAAGCUUCUAGUUAGAGAAUUACCGCCCGUACCGUAAACCGACACAGGUAUGCGGGGAGAGAAUCCUAAGGUGCGCGGGAGAACCCUCGUUAAGGAACUCGGCAAAAUGUACCCGUAACUUCGGGAUAAGGGUAGCCGCUGUUGUGAAGUCUGAACAGACGGAGCAUGAGGCGGUCGCAGAGAAGAGGCCCAAGCGACUGUUUACCACAAACACAGGUGCCUGCUAAAGAGAAAUCUGACGUAUAGGUGCUGACACCUGCCCAGUGCCGGAAGGUUAAGGAAGGAUGUCCGGAGCAAUCCAAAGCAUUCGACCGAAGCCCCGGUGAACGGCGGCCGUAACUAUAACGGUCCUAAGGUAGCGAAAUUCCUUGUCGGGUAA